rnacentral:lncRNA from 13 species
UCCCACACUGCCAGCCCCUCCCCCAGCCUCCCCACCACCACAGAGUGGCAGGAGGGCCCCCAUGGUCCUGAGCCCUUCUCCCCAAGCCACAGAGCAGUCCCAGAGACAGGAGCGGGCUCCCUGGUGCCACACAGCUGAGGGGCUGUGGCCAGGUGAGGCCCCCCACCCUCCAGCCCCUGGUGGAUGCUGUGGUGUGGCCUGGGCUCCGGGAGAGGUUGCCUUCCUUGGGGGUCACAGGCACAGCCCUCAGGCCUGGCUGGUGGGGUCUUUGGGCCUGGGCUGGGAGUUGGGACUCAGGCUUCCAUCUCAGCUCUCCCAGCAGCUAGCUGGGUGCCUCAGUUUCCUUACCUGCAAAGAUGAGAGGGCAGGUGAGCUGGAUGUGCUGGCUCGGCAGCAGUGGACUUUGGGGCAAGUGCCCUCGUGACCCUCCAGGACUUCCUGUGUCCUUGGCUUAGCCCCAGGCAUGCCCCCCUGCCCUCCUCCAGCCACCCCUGAGCAGAGGCUCUGAGAAGGAGCUUGCCUCAGCUGAGGCUAGAGUUUAGGGAGAGGCUUUGAUGGGUCCCACAAGUCUGUGGCUGGAAUGUGAAGCUCUGUCUACACCUUCACCCCACCAUCGUGGCUGUGGCUUCCCAUGUGGCCCAGACCUGGCCUCCUUCUCAUACUUCCAUACUCGUCUCCUGGGAAACCUGGUCUCAGCCGGGGUCAUCAGAGGGGGCUGGCUCCAGCUGAGCUCGGUGACCCAAGCCCCCUGUGGUUGGGUUCAUCCCAGCCCUGGAACCUUCUGGAGGACACACCUGCCUGUGUCCUCCAGUGGACAGGCUGGAGUGGCCAAACCCCUCUCAGGCCUCAGGGCCCAGCGCCCAGAAUCUCUGGCAAAGGAGGAAGGAUGAGGGAGAGGUCGUGCUUGACAAGUUCCCGUAAGAAGCUGGUGCAGACCUGGCCGCAGGCAGAGGCUUGGAGGAAGGACCCAGGAAGGGCUGGCUGCACAGGCGUAAGACACCUGCAGACACCUGCCUGGGAAGGAAAGAGGAAGCCUCAGGUGGACAGAGAAGGUGGGGGCAGAUUCUGCAGGACUGGAGAUGGACCCAGGGAUCUGCUUCUGUCAGGGUCAGGUGGGUCUGAGAAGCCGGUGCAAGACGGGUGACCUGGGCAAGCUCCCAUGGUUCCCACUUCCUGGGGUUCACACCACUUCAGGGUCCCUUCCCCUUGGGCAUGGGCAGGACACAAGACUUGCACUUAAACAACAGAAUAGGGUGCACGUGACAGCAUGUCACUCCCAUGGGCUGGGUUACAUGUCCAAGAUACUGUGUUGCUAGCAGACUCACUCUGAGAUGUCUCCCUUGCUGGCUUUGGAGGGCCAGGCUGCCACAGCAAGAGAGGGCCAUGUGGCAGGGUCCUGGGAGCAGCCUCCAGCAGAGAAACUGCCAUCCCCAACCCCACACCUGCAGGGAAAUGCAGGCUGCCCACAACCUGAGAGAGCCCAGAGGCGGACUCUUCCCUGGUUGAGCCUGCAGAUGAGAACUCAGUCCAGUACUGCCAGCUGCAGCCAGGUGAAGUGGAUUCCUCCCCAGCUGAGCCUGCAGAUGAGAACACAGCCCAGCACUGCAGCUGCAACAAGGUGGGAUCCUGCAUGGAGGACCCAGCUGAGCCAAGGCCAGAAUUCAGACCCACAGAGACUGCGAGUUGUUAGACUUAUGUUCUUUCUUGUCAUCAAAUUGUGGUCCUGUGUUAUGCAGCAAGAGAAACC